UAGGGAAUCUUCCGCAAUGGGCGAAAGCCUGACGGAGCAACGCCGCGUGAGUGAUGAAGGUCUUCGGAUCGUAAAACUCUGUUAUUCGGGAAGAACAAAUGUGUAAGUAACUAUGCACGUCUUGACGGUACCUAAUCAGAAAGCCACGGCUAACUACGUGCCAGCAGCCGCGGUAAUACGUAGGUGGCAAGCGUUAUCCGGAAUUAUUGGGCGUAAAGCGCGCGUCGGCGGUUUUUUAAGUCUGAUGUGAAAGCCCACGGCACAACCGUGGAGGGUCAUUGGAAACUGGAAAACUUGAGUGCAGAAGAGGAAAGUGGAAUUCCAGGUGUAGCGGUGAAAUGCGCAGAGAUAUGGAGGAACACCAGGGGCGAAGGCGACUUUCUGGUCUGUAACUGACGCUGAUGUGCGAAAGCGUGGGGAUCAAACAGG
rnacentral:rRNA from 1 species